GCCUUCGUGGUGUAAUGGUCAGCACACUGAGCCGGUAUUUCAGAGGUCCGCCGUUCGAUUCCCGGCGAAGGAA
rfam:Stegodyphus mimosarum contig128263, whole genome shotgun sequence.